GAGAUUGCGAAGGAGACAUCUAAGCUGGGUAGUUUUAGGAGUAGACUGAGAGGCUCUCAUAGCGAAUGGAGCGUGGUGGGCGGGGGUGGGUGGUAGAGGAAGAGACUUCUGGUGGUGACAAGGACGACGGGAGAGCUUGCCCGGAAUAGAGGAGGUAACCGCCGUGUCGGGCGUCCCUGAAAUGGAGGGACCAGAGAGAGGCCCGGAGGCCAGAGGAAGCCCUUGGCCCAGCGCUGGGGUUUUCGGAAACGGAGAGACGGACGGGUUCCGGGGAAGGGCAACAGUCUCUUUUUACUCACCCUGGCGGAGGUUUUGAUGGUGGAUGAGGUCGCCAGCAAAGGGAGAACCUAGGAGAUUCUCUGGGUCUUCGGCAGGUUGGGGAAAGGACUCAUGUGAUUAUACUGAACUGACCCAGAUAACCCAGGAUAAUUCACAUCUCAAGACCCUUAAACUUGAUGACGUCUGCAAAGUCCCUUUUGCCAUAAGGUUAUAUUGGCAUAUGGUCCAGGAAUUAGUGCAGAGCCACAAUCUCAGAAAGAAAAUGAGAGUGGAUAAUGAAGACAGAUCAUCUGGGUGUAAACCUGAGGAUAUUCCAGAAUAUAGAGGUUAGAGAGAUAAGAAAGAAACUAGCAAGGAAACUAAGGAGCAGCCUCUAAGUAGAAGGAAAAGAAUGGUGAGUUGUAAUUGGAGGUGAAGACAGUUUCAAGGGAGGGUAUGUUAAUUGCUGCUGACACAUCAAGGAAGAUGAGGACUGAGCAUUGACCAUUGGAUUUAGCAACAUGGAGUUUUCUGCUGACCUGGACCUGAGCAGUUUUAAUGGAGUGGUGGGGGCAAUGCAUGACAGAAGAGAAUUCAAGACAGAAGGGACUUUUCCAAAAAAAAAAGGUAUACAAAUGGUUAUUGUGCAACGUGGAAAGAUGUUCACCAAUAUUAGUCAUUUAGGAAAUGAAAAUCAAAAGCACAAUGAGUUACCAGUUCACACUCACUCAGAAGGCAAUAAUCAAAGAAAUGGACAAUAGCAAGGGUUGGGAAGGAUAUGGAGAUAUUCUCCCACAUUGCUGGUGGAAUGUAAAAAUGGUGAAGGUGAAGGUGGAAAAACGGAAAUGAAGUAUUGAGAGGGAGAUGGAAUAUAAGAAGCUUUCUGACAGAUAACCCAAUGGAACAAACUGACUGACUGGGCAUCUGAAAUGAGUAAGAAGGAGUCAAAAAUGAGCAAAAUUAUGCUUCUCUGUGGAUGCAAAUCAUAUCUCCAUUACUUACACCCAGGAGAACUUGUAUGAAGUAGUUAACUUCUCUGGAUUUUAGCUUUUUCAUGUGUACAAUGGGGGGUUUAUGCCUCAUAGAGUUGUAGAAACUGCAAAUGAGAGACUUAUGAAAAGCCUACUGAAUGACCUUAUGAAUAAUAAUAUCAUCAGUGGAAGGUGAUUUGAGGAUGUGAUGCUGUUAUCCCUGACAUGGGCAGGAGGGAACUUGGACAAAGACCAAGGAAGAAAAUAUCUCUUCUCUGAAUGUCUUGUCUGCAUUUGAGUGCAAUGUCCUUUAUUCCGUGUCUUCCACCCAAUCAGGGCCCUACUGCCACUUAAGGGGUAAUUUCUCUUUCAAUCAUUAGUUGUUCCAGCACCAAGAAGCUUAGCCUCAGUUGAGGCACCUGAGUCAGGAGGCCAGGAUCCUUGGGAGAUUGACAACAGGAGGA
rnacentral:lncRNA from 1 species